UGUCUGACGCCGUCACUCUCUUCCUCUCACUCUUACUCGCUCGAAUUCACUCUCACUCUCACUCUCACUCUCACCCUCGCUCUCGCUCUCGCUCUCGCUCGAAGUGUCUCUCACUCUCGCUCUCUGUACUCAUCUCUUCAUCAGAUCUAUGAAGUUUGUCGAAGAUUUGAAGGUUGAUUCUUGAAGAUUCGAAGGUUGAUUCUCCAGAUUUGCAGUUGUCUCUCACUCUCGCUCUCGCUCUCGCUCUCGCUCUCGCUCUCAUUCUCUCUGUCUUAGUCUCGCUGUCGCUCUUGCUCGAAUUCUCUCUCUCUCAGUCUCAGUCUCACUCUCUGUACUCAUCUCUUCAUCAGAUCUAUGAAGUUUGUCGAAGAUUUGAAGGUUGAUUCUUGAAGAUUCGAAGGUUGAUUCUCCAGAUUUGCAGUUGUCUCUCACUCUCGCUCUCAUUCUAUCUGUCUUAGUCUCACUGUCGCUCUUGCUCGAAUUCUCUCUCUCUCAGUCUCACUCUCACUCUCUGUACUCAUCUAUUCAUCAGAUCUAUGAAGUUUGUCGAAGAUUUGAAGGUUGAUUCUUGAAGAUUCGAAGAUUGAUUCUCCAGAUUUGCAGUUUCUCUCACUCUCGCUCUCGCUCAAAUUCUCUCUGUCGCAGUCUUACUCUCGCUCUUGUUCGAAUUUUCUCUCUCACUCUCUGUACUCAUCUCUUCAUCAGAUUCAAAGGUUGAUUCUUGAAGAUUCGAAGGUUGAUUCUCCAAAUUUGCAGUUGUCUCUUUCGAUUUUAUCUCAUCGUUCAUCAAUUGGUCGAUUAAUCUACAUGAAACCUGUUUGAGAUUUGGCUUCUCAAAUCUGUUCGAAAGAGGCUCUUAGAAUUCAUACUUGCUGCAUUCCGUCGAUCUCUUGAUUUUGUUGCACUUCUAAAGGUAUUCUCCUCACCAAAUUAUGCCUAAACUUUUCUAUUGCAAGUCAAUUAUGUUGGAACUUUAUUGAUUACUUACCUUAGUAUCAUUGUCACUUGGUAUGUCGAAUGUAAUUCUAGAUUUGGAAAAUGGAAAGUAGGAGUGCAUACAAUUUUUUUUUUUUUUUUAAUUUUAAACAGACAUGGAGUGGAAAAUUUUGUAUCUUUCAUUUUCUGGCUUGUGACCUGUUUUCUUUGGUAUAAAUUUUACAAAUUUAUUUGAAUAGUUUUUUUUUUUUUUUUU